AAGAGUUGCAAAACUCCCAACCAUUGUGAACGAACUGUAAUGCCCAGCAGGGCGGUGUCUAUCACCCCCGGCCGCGGUAUGAAACUCUUAUUCAGUGAAUCUCUGAGUAGCUUAUUUAAUAAGUAA
rnacentral:misc_RNA from 1 species